AAUAAUAUAUUAUCAUUUGCAUCGGGCAUACAUAUAUUAUUAUAUAAUGUUACAAUUUCUUACUUAUUUAAUUAUUAUUUAUUUAUUAAUUUAGUUUAUAGCGUAAAUAUCCACUAUUUUGUGCUUGACUUAUAUAUGUGUAUAUUUGAACAUUUGCAUAACAAUGUUUGUUUAUUUAAUGUGCUUGCAUUUAAAUGCAAUGUUUGAUCAGAUGUAUUGUGUUGAUGAUAUGCUUUGUUUGCGUGGAAUUGAGAUAAAGUGAGUCACCAUUGGGUUUGUGAGGGCGGUCUACGAUGCCGUCGACCAUGUAUGGGGAGAUUGGCUCACUCGUUUGCAGUUGAUGAUAUGGAUUAUAUGGAAAACGACCGGGUGGCCUCCUGUUAGUAUGGAAAGAAAAGAAGUAUAAAAAAAAAUGAGAGGGUUGGUCACGUGAGGAUUACCUGAGAGGAUGGGCUUCCUAGUGCACACGUCAUGAGAGGAUGGGCAAUGUGAAAGGACAACUCAUCGAGGGUUUCGGUGACGUUAUUGACCAAUUUUCACUUGUUUGAUUACCUGAAGGGAGUACAUUCUUCUUUAUCCCGCCUAAAGCUCUGUUUCCUUCACCGAAGAGCUAGAAAAGAAAUUUCAUAAUUCCAGUAAUUAUUUAAAUUGUGAGCGUCAUAUACAAGAACUUAAUUAUUUCUGCUUGAUAUUGAAUUCCGCAGUUAUAGGAUUGUGAAAGUCCCUAUUAUAGGAUUAUGAUUAUUCUAAUUUUGUACGAGUGUGAUCAUGUUAAGCGAUAACUUUAGGUUGAUGAUUUACAGAUCUAUAUGUACAUGUACGGACCGGUUAGCCUAUAUUAUAGAUAUUGUGUAAUGUAAUUGGCUCGUGCUAUGAAAUGUUUGAAAUGCUGGAUUUAGGUCAGGAUAUAGUACAAUCAUAAGAUUUGUUAUAUAGAAUAUGGGCUUAUUGUUCCUGUGAUCUAUUUCAAAGUGAUUAAGUUUAGUA